UCACUUACCUGGCAGGGGAGAUACCAUGAUCAUGAAGGUGGUUCACCCAGGCGCAGGCUCAGCCAUUGCACUUCGGGUUGUGCUGACUCGCAAGGACCCCCAAAUGUGGGAAUCUCUGACUGCAUAAUUUGUGGUAGUGGGGACUGCGUCUGCGCUCUCCCUG